GCAGCCAGCCCCUCCCCUUUAUUGACUUCCGUUGGCGGGAAGAGGGUCUGGUAAGGUUCCUUUGAUGUCUUGGUUUUUCCUACCCCUGCAUUCCAUGGGGCAUAAAGUCUUAACGAUGAUCUGUUAAUUGAGAUAAGCGACCAACCGAUGGGAACUCAUCUGGUAAUUAGUAUGUGUUGUACAGCGAAGUUUUCGUUUCUGUGUCUGUUGCAGGUGCUGCUGGACUUUGUUCUUGUUUUAGGCGAGUUCAUUUGCUCUCACGGGUUGCGUGGCAAGAGAAGCGCGCAGGUCGUACGUCUUCUUGUGCGACAGCCUUGGCAGAGUAUUUGGACGAAAUUCAUCAAAAGAAUGACUACGUCAUCUUGAUACACAUCUUCAAGACUUCCAUUCUUCCUCUCUUUUCUUAUGGUGCUGUUGCUGAUGAAGCAUGGGGAAUAGGUCAAUGGCAACAACAGCUUGACGACGCUCAAGAAAGAGCUCUUGAUGUAGUCAACAUAUACAAAGAAGCUUUAGAAUCGAAACAAAUACCAUUUCGCAUUAUUACAACACCCGGGUCUGCUGGUCACGUGAUCUGUACCAUUGCAAAUGAACAUCAAGUUAAUAUGAUAGUGAUGGGCAGUCAUGGGGUUGGGAUGAUAACUGGGACGGUGCUUGGGAGUUUCAGUGACUACGUGCUGCAUAACGCCAAUGUGCCAGUGACAAUCGUACCUCCUAGAGAAUAGGAACGUGUGACUGCCACCUGUAAUUUGCCACAUAUAAUUCCUGACAUGAUUUGCAGUUAGGAAAUUAUUGAUGCAAUAUGUUUCUGUUUUAGCACGCAAAUUAGCUGCUAGCUGUUCAUGCAAUUACUGUGUAUGUGUAUCCAUGAAAUUAGAGCUUGGAAUAUUCAGAAAUUUACAGUUUGCUUAAUUAGAAAAUCAUCAAACGAUU